GAUGAACGCUGGCGGCGUGCCUAAUACAUGCAAGUCGAGCGAACAGAUGAGGAGCUUGCUCCUCUGACGUUAGCGGCGGACGGGUGAGUAACACGUGGAUAACCUACCUAUAAGACUGGGAUAACUUCGGGAAACCGGAGCUAAUACCGGAUAAUAUAUUGAACCGCAUGGUUCAAUAGUGAAAGACGGCUUUGCUGUCACUUAUAGAUGGAUCCGCGCCGCAUUAGCUAGUUGGUAAGGUAACGGCUUACCAAGGCAACGAUGCGUAGCCGACCUGAGAGGAUGAUCGGCCACACUGGAACUGAGACACGGUCCAGACUCCUACGGGAGGCAGCAGUAGGGAAUCUUCCGCAAUGGGCGAAAGCCUGACGGAGCAACGCCGCGUGAGUGAUGAAGGUCUUCGGAUCGUAAAGCUCUGUUAUUAGGGAAGAACAGAUGUGGAAGUAACUAUGCACGUCUUGACGGUACCUAAUCAGAAAGCCACGGCUAACUACGUG
rnacentral:rRNA from 1 species